rnacentral:tmRNA from 2 species
GGGAGCGACUUGGCUUCGACAGGAGUAAGUCUGCUUAGAUGGCAUGUCGCUUUGGGCAAAGCGUAAAAAGCCCAAAUAAAAUUAAACGCAAACAACGUUAAAUUCGCUCCUGCUUACGCUAAAGCUGCGUAAGUUCAGUCGAGCCUGAAAUUUAAGUCAUACUAUCUAGCUUAAUUUUCGGUCAUUUUUGAUAGUGUAGCCUUGCGUUUGACAAGCGUUUAGGUGAAAUAAAGUCUUAGCCUUGCUUUUGAGUUUUGGAAGAUGAGCGAAGUAGGGUGAAGUAGUCAUCUUUACUAAGCAUGUAGAGGUCUUUGUGGGAUUAUUUUUGGACAGGGGUUCGAUUCCCCUCGCUUCCACCA